rnacentral:rRNA from 1 species
GACUCUCGGCAACGGAUAUCUCGGCUCUCGCAUCGAUGAAGAACGUAGCGAANGAAGAACGUAGCGAAAUGCGAUACCUGGUGUGAAUUGCAGAAUCCCGCGAACCAUCGAGUCUUUGAACGCAAGUUGCGCCCUAGGCCACUCGGCCGAGGGCACGCCUGCCUGGGCGUCA